rnacentral:misc_RNA from 1 species
UUUCCGUAGGUGAACCUGCGGAAGGGUCAUUACCAAAACAUAGCUGUCUGGCCGCAAGGCCCUGACGCUUCAACCCUUUGUGAACCAAAAAACCUUUCGCUUCGGCAGCUGUCCUCUGGACGUCAGCCUGCCGCUAGCACCAAAACCAUAAACUUGCAGUAAAACACUGUCUGAUACCAAAUUUUCGAAUGAAAAUUAAAACUUUCAACAACGGAUCUCUUGGUUCUG